CCUACGGGUGGCAGCAGUCGAGAAUUUUUCACAAUGGGCGAAAGCCUGAUGGAGCGACGCCGCGUGGGGGAUGAAUGGCUUCGGCCCGUAAACCCCUGUCAUUUGCGAACAAACCUCGUUAUUUAAAAGAUGACGAGUUGAUUGUAGCGAAAGAGGAAGGGACGGCUAACUCUGUGCCAGCAGCCGCGGUAAUACAGAGGUCCCAAGCGUUGUUCGGAUUCACUGGGCGUAAAGGGUGCGUAGGUGGUCGGGUAAGUCUGAUGUGAAAUCUCCGAGCUCAACUCGGAAAUGGCAUUGGAUACUAUUCGGCUAGAGGGUUGGAGGGGGGACUGGAAUUCUCGGUGUAGCAGUGAAAUGCGUAGAUAUCGAGAGGAACACCAGUGGCGAAGGCGAGUCCCUGGACAACUCCUGACGCUGAGGCACGAAAGCUAGGGGAGCAA
rnacentral:rRNA from 1 species